rnacentral:rRNA from 1 species
UACGUAGGGUCCGAGCGUUGUCCGGAAUUAUUGGGCGUAAAGGGCUCGUAGGCGGUUCGUCACGUCGGGAGUGAAAACUCGGGGCUUAACCCCGAGCCUGCUUCCGAUACGGGCAGACUAGAGGUAGGCAGGGGAGAGCGGAACUCCUGUGUAGCGGUGGAAUGCGCAGAUAUCAGGAGGAACACCGGUGGCGAAGGCGGGUCUCUGGGCCGAUACUGACGCUGAGGAGCGAAAGUGUGGGGAGCGAACAGG